AUGCCGUUUAUUAAGUUCAGAAAAUGGCCUGCGAGUUAUAAAAAAUGUUCCCAUCCUUAUGCCCUUUUCAUCCCCAAAUUUGUAAAUCUGCUUCAAGCAUUUAACAGACUAGCUGUGUGCACAUCAACAGAAGCAGUGGGUGUUUCUGGAAUAACAGCUCAGUUUCAUUUUCCUCUUGGGCCUUUUCUGAAACGUCCACAUUUCCCACAAAAAAACAUGUAUGAACUGGGGGAAAGUUACACGCUGUGUAUUUUUGAAACUCUUGGAGAGGUGAAGGGCCGUUAUUUCCUGCAGGGUAGUGUCCUCCUUUUGCUUACUUCACAAACAAAACCCGGAUGUGACUUGGGAACGAAAAAAAAAAAAAAAAAAAAGGAACAAAAAGUAAAACUUUUGUUGUUUCUCCAGGAAAGUGGAAGUGGGCUAGCUCAGCUCCAACCUUGGGCUCCAGCCCAGGCCGGUCCUCCGCGGGCGUGGCAGGGUCGGGAGCCGGGGAGCGGCAUCCCCGCGGGAGAGCGCACGGCCUCACUAUUUCAGCCGCCCCGCAAACUGAACCCUCCCUGGACUCACUGAGGCAGUCACCUCCUGCGCAGGCGGGGUGCGCCAGCAGCGCAGUUAUUUCAGGAGGCGCCAGAGUUUGCCACCCGUCCAGGCGCUCCACUUCCAGAGCUGCCCCUGUGGCUGGUUCUGGGGUGAAAAUGCCAGCCCUUCACAUCGAAGAUCUGCCAGAAAAGGAAAAGCUGAAGAUGGAAGUUGAGCAACUUCGCAAAGAAGUCAAGUUGCAGAGACAACAGGUAUCUAAAUGUUCUGAAGAAAUAAAGAACUAUAUUGAAGAACGUUCUGGAGAAGAUCCUCUGGUGAAAGGAAUUCCAGAAGACAAGAAUCCCUUUAAAGAAAAAGGCAGCUGCAUUAUUUCAUAAAUAACCCUGGGGAGAAACUUCAUCCUCAGUGGAAGGAAUAUUUUGUUGUAUUUUUCUGAAGUAAGACCGACGUGCCUUUUAAAGAAGGAACAACGAAAGUUAAAGGAGACUUUCUUAAGCACUCACAUAAAUAUGGUCAUGUCUGAAAGCUUUGUGCCUCUCAUCUUCAUUCACUACACACUUCUUACAAGAGGGCGCUCAGUCCAGAUGGACAAUUAUGGAAAUAAGGACAUCACUUGUGCUUGACUCACCUCCUUCAGUAUUAUUGCUUGAUGCCUCAAAUAAAGUUUUAUCUCUGGAAACUGAGUGUUGGUGGUUUAAGAAAGCUGGUUUUUUUUUUUUUAAUUAACUUUCAUAUUUUUCU
rnacentral:lncRNA from 9 species